UACGAGGGGGGCGAGCGUUGUUCGGAAUUAUUGGGCGUAAGGGGUGCGUAGGCGGUUUGGUAAGUCUGAUGUGAAAUCUAUGGGCUCAACUCAUAGUCUGCAUCGGAAACUGCCGGGCUUGAGUAUGGGAGAGGUGAGUGGAAUUCCUGGUGUAGCGGUGAAAUGCGUAGAUAUCAGGAGGAACACCUGUGGCGAAAGCGGCUCACUGGACCAUAACUGACGCUGAUGCACGAAAGCUAGGGGAGCAAACAGG
rnacentral:rRNA from 1 species